CGAAGGGGCUAGCGUUGUUCGGAAUCACUGGGCGUAAAGCGUACGUAGGCGGAUCGUUAAGUCAGGGGUGAAAUCCCGAGGCUCAACCUCGGAACUGCCUUUGAUACUGGCGAUCUUGAGUCCGGGAGAGGUGAGUGGAACUCCUAGUGUAGAGGUGAAAUUCGUAGAUAUUAGGAAGAACACCAGUGGCGAAGGCGGCUCACUGGCCCGGUACUGACGCUGACGUACGAAAGCGUGGGGAGCAAACAGGAUU
rnacentral:rRNA from 1 species